rnacentral:rRNA from 1 species
UACGUAGGUGGCAAGCGUUGUCCGGAUUUACUGGGCGUAAAGAGCGCGCAGGCGGUCGUGCAAGUCGCGUGUGAAAGCCCCCGGCUCAACUGGGGAGGGUCACGCGAUACUGCUCGACUCGAAGGCAGGAGAGGGAAGUGGAAUUCCCGGUGUAGUGGUGAAAUGCGUAGAUAUCGGGAGGAACACCUGCGGCGAAGGCGGGUUGCUGGGCCGACACUGACGCUGAGGCGCGAAAGCUAGGGGAGCGAACAGG